CCCGCCUACAUGAAGUCGGAAUUGCUAGUAAUCGCGGAUCAGCAUGCCGCGGUGAAUACGUUCCCGGGCCUUGUACACACCGCCCGUCACACCAUGGGAGUUGGUAACACCCGAAGUCAGUAGCCUAACCGCAAGGAGGGCGCUGCCGAAGGUGGGAUCGAUGACUGGGGUGAAGUCGUAACAAGGUAUC
rnacentral:rRNA from 1 species